AAGAAGGCUCCUGUAUGAUCAGCAGUGCCUCACUUUUUAAAAUUAUCUUCCAAACAUUAGGUUGACAAUAUCAUGGUUUUUGACUGUGGCACAAAAUCAUAAGAUGCUAGCAAACCGUUUCAAAUCACGUCUAUUUUAUUUUCUCUACUCUUUGAAAUUGGCAGAGGGGGGAACUCACAAAAGCUGCUAUAGAACUCCCAAGUCCUCCAGUACAACAGCUUAAGGAACAGGCAGAGGUGGAGGAAUGGCCCCAAAAAUCACUGAACGAAAAACAGCAGGAGUAUCAGGAUUUGCUAAUCCGUUGUAUUGCUCAGCCUCUAGGAUUCUCCAAAGGCAGACCUGUUGCAGCCUGCAUCAUAUACAAAUGCCUGAGGCACUGGAGAUCAUUUGAAGUAGAAAGGGCUAGCAUUUUUGACCGAAUUAUACAGACCAUUGGCCAGGCGAUUGAGACACAAGACGACAACAAAACCUUGGCAUAUUGGUUAUCAAAUGCAUCCACGCUGCUGUUCUUGCUGCAACGUACACUAAAAGCGAGUGCUGCUGCUGGUAUGACUCCACAACAUCGGCGGUCACCAUCAACUUUAUUUGGGAGGAUGACCAGGAGCUUUCGCGGAAUUCCACUUGGCUCUGAUCUUUCUUCUGUUAAUGGUGAGGUGACUGGUGGGGUGGAUACAAUAAGACUACAAAGAAAUUAAGGAGAAUUUGGGAUAAAAGACUGUUAUACAAUCUAACAUACAGUGUAUUGCAGUUGUAUCAUUAUGCUUACCUUGCGCAUAGAGUCUAUAGGGUGGUCAUCUCCAAGUCUAGGGUCCAUCAGUUUGCCGAGGCCUUCUACGGGAUCUGGCUCAUUAAAAGCUUCCUCGAACUGAAAAGUAUUGGAAGCAAAUUAUCAUUAGCUUAUAAAUUAACUAUCAGCAGCUAAUGACAUAGCUGUCCUAUUCAGUUUGGGCACUUGCUAGUACCCCCACUUUCAGUCAUGGUUAUAGUGGUGGCAGAGAUCAUUCUGUAAGUGCUGCGCAACUAAGGUCUUUCUUCUUUUGUUUCUUGUAUUAUAUUUUCUCCAAUGACUGCAGCAGUUGUAUAGUUACGUGUAAUGUGGUUUUUAAAAAAACAAUAGAGAACUAGAGAGAUAAUUUAUGGUAGUUAAGCAUAACAUAUAUAGUUUUUAUUGAAUAGUAUUGUAUAUUUCAGAACAGAUGGUCAUUUUAGUUUACAUUACAAAUAUAUACGUCCAUGUAUUGUUAACCAAAAUGAUUAUUUUAUGUUACAACUAUAUAGCUCAGGUGCUUCAAGUCAUAUAAUAAGGAAAUUAAUGAUUAGAUCUUAACUAGUUGGUCACUUCUUGAUGUAGAAUUAAUUUGAUAAAAAAUCUACAAUUCUUUGGGAUAGAUACUAUGGACAGAAUAAUAUUCGUAGGUCACCUCUUUCUUGUGGAAUUAAUUACCUUGCAGACAUGGCAACACAAGGGAAGCUAAUGCUCUGGGGUGCUUAGUUCUUGCAUAGACUCAUCAUAUCAAAAUAUUAAUAGUCUAAUAGACAGAGGACAACUAUGGAGACUCACAUCAUCUUCAUUUUUGCAUGCAAAUAUUGGACAUCUCCUGGUCUGGUGUUUAUGCAACAUAAAUUAAUCAACCUAUCCCUGAUUUUCAGAAACUCAAUGCCAGGGUAUUUUUCUUGACUCAUUCUUUUUCAACAACCUUCUAAUUAUAAAUUAUAAUUUUUGGUGGAAUGGUGGAAUGGGUGACUAUGUUGCUUGCUUUCUCGCUGUCGAACAUAAGCCUGCUACAACAGACUGUUGAUUUUGAAUGGAAAUCUGCUAUUGCUGCUAAAGUUUGGACUAAUGUUGCGAAAAAAGGCUUAGUCAAUGCAAUUGCGGAGGCAACUAAGGAUGUCACUGAUGGUGAGAGUUCGGAGAAUGACAUGAUGGGGAUGAUGAUGGUGAUGGCGAUGAGGAUGAUUGAAAUGAAUCUAACUAGCUAGAUGCAUUAUUGGUAGGGAUGUUGAUUUUGUUAAAACAUUGGUUUUUUUAACCGAGACCGAACUUAUAACUUUUUUUAUUCAACUGUAACGUAUAUUUGCAUGGUUUCGGUUAUUUUGUUGAAAGAAUUUGUAAAAAUAUAUGAAU